GCCUUGGGUGGAACCAUGCUUGCGCUGAUCUUCUUGAUGGCCGGCCUGGCCAUGAUCCUCUCCCACCACGCCUUGACGUGCGGGUAGGAGUCGAAUAGCGCCGCGUGUGGUGUCGCCAUGAAGUAGAAGGUGUAGGGGAAGUGGUUGAGGUCGGCGAAGCUCACGAAAUCACCGGCCAGGUACUCGUGCUUGGACAGGCGCGCCUCAUACACCUCCAGCACCUUCUUGAGCUUCUCGAGGCUCUCGGCCACGACCUUCUCAUCGGUGGGGAUGCCGCGCAUCAUGGGGUUGAAGAGGCAUUGGUACACGAUGGGGGACAGUGCCGGGUUGUAGGUGUGCGCGUCCACCUCCGUCCACACGUCCACCAUGGCCGCCUCCUUCAGGUU